rnacentral:lncRNA from 1 species
UCUUCUCCCUCUCUCCCGAUUCUCUCUCCUCCCACCCGAUUUUCUUCUCACUACACCCAGCAGAAUUCCGGCCGUCCUCCCGCCGCCGUCCGACCUCCGUUCGCCGCCGGACCGGUCCCGUUCGGUCGGUCUCCCUCCCAGCAACAUUUCUAGACCGGUGACAGCCCCCCUAGCGCCGCCGUGAGUGAGCGGUGCCGCCCGAAAGAACCGACUGCCCCGAGCUUCCCUUCGCCGGAACUUCCUCCUCCGGCCACCAAUCCGGGCAAGCUUGGUACGGUUUUGUAGCCCUCCUCCCGUGCAACAACCCCUCCAAGCAGCUCCCUCCCUCUUGAGCUAGGUAAGGAGAAAUGUGGAGUUGAAAUUUCUAGGCUUUUAAGUUAUUUUCGUUCGAUUAGCCUAGUUAGGCUUGGAAUUGGGUGAUGUGUUGGUCAUGAAAGUUGUAGAGGAGAUUGAGAGGAAGAUUCUGUUAAAAUUUGGUAGCAUUUGCAGGUCGCCGGAAAACGGCUGCCGGCCACCGCUGCCGGCGGAGCCGCCGGCGGCGCCGCCGCCGGUCAGGAGAAUUUUAUGGUUUUUGAUGUAGAAUAUUAAGGGGAUAUUAUUGAAGUGAAUUUUGGAAUUUUUGGAUGAGAUUUGGAUAGGUUUGUGAAUUUCCGAAGUGUGGUAUUUUUGGCGGGUAAUUAAUGUAGAAUCCGGCCGUUGGAUUUAAGUCGUAUUUUGGGGAGGUUGUAUUUACGACUAUUGAGUAUGAUAUUUAAGUUCGGAUCGUUCCGAUGUAAGAAUAUCGAAGUUAGGCAAUGAUGAGCGUAAUUAUGGCUCUCGGGUAAUUUUGCCUAUUUUGAUUAAAUAUUGGAUUAUUGGUUGGGAAAUUAAUAUUUUAUUUGGAACAGGACGUGAGGAGGCUCGAGCAGACGAGACCCCAGAUCGACAGCAGGCUUAGGCCUAAUUUGUGAGUGGACUUUUGUUUUAAAUAAAUGCAUGCUAAGUUCACGAUUGAAUAAUUAAUGUCGUGGAGUAUUUUGCCGUCAAUUAAUUUUGACGCUUUUAUUUCUCUGAGAGAGAGUUACCGAAAAUGGGAUUUUCGGUGAAUAUAAAUAUGUAUUUAUG